UUGAGCAAAAAUAGUAUUUUAUAAGGGCAUAGAAAUAAAUAUAAAUUUUAAGAUGGUAUUCACACAAAUUUAAAUUUUAAGAAGGGUAUUUAUGCAAAAAAAUUCUUUUAAAAGCUUACUAUUUAAAAAUUCAAGAAGAUCAAUAAAUUCGUCAUAAUUUCCUACAUCAUGUUUCACCUUUCUUGCUUUUUUCAGAACUUACAUGAGUCACGAUUUUCUAUUUAUGUUGCAAUUAAAAAUAAUAUAGAAUAUAGAUUAAUGUAAUUCAAAGAGUAUUAUUUAAAAAUAUAUAUUUAUCAAUAUCUAUAUAUAUAUAUAUAAAUAUAUAAUAUCAUAUUAUAUUUAAAUGAUCUACCAUCUUAGUUGGGUGGUUCUUGUUUGGGAUUUAAUAACUAUGGUUUGGACCUGAGUAUUUUUUUUUUUAAAUUUAAUGUUGCAGGAUGUGCUUAUCCCUGGAUUGGUUGGGUAUGGCAUUUUAUUUUUGCAGGCUGGGUUAGAGCUCAACUGGCUUUAGAGCUCAACCAA
rnacentral:lncRNA from 1 species